rnacentral:rRNA from 1 species
GACGUAGGGCGCAAGCGUUGUCCGGAUUUAUUGGGCGUAAAGAGCUCGUAGGCGGCUUGUUGCGUCGUCCGUGAAAACCCGCAGCUCAACUGCGGGCUUGCGGACGAUACGGGCAAACUAGAGUAUUGCAGGGGAGACUGGAAUUCCUGGUGUAGCGGUGAAAUGCGUAGAUAUCGGGAGGAACACCUGUGGCGAAAGCGGCGCACUGGACCACAACUGACGCUGAGGCGCGAAAGCUAGGGGAGCAAACAGG